rnacentral:tRNA from 1 species
GCCUGGGUGGCUCAGUCGGUUAAGUAUCCGACUUUGGCUCAGGUUGUGAUCUUGCAGUCCGUGGGUUCAAGCCCCACGUCGGGCU